rnacentral:rRNA from 1 species
AUUGAACGCUGGCGGCAGGCCUAACACAUGCAAGUCGAACGAAUGGCGGAGUGGUGAAUAAUUUAUGGGAAAGUGCCUGAUGGAGGGGUAUAACGGCUAUAAACGGUAGCUAAUACCGCAUACGAUCCGAUGUGCCCAGAUGGGAUUAGCUAGUCGGUGGGGGAAAGGCUCACCGAGGCGACGAUGCCUAGCUGGUCUGAGAGGAUGACCGGCCACACUGGAACUGAGACACGGUCCAGACUCCUACGGGAGGCAGCAGUGGGGAAUAUUUCGCAAUGGGCGCAAGCCUGAUGCAGCAAUGCCGCGUGUAUGAAGAAGGCUUUCGGAUUGUAAAGCACUUUAAGUUGGGAGGCGUUACCUAAACAAUAAGCACCGGCUAACUUCGUGCCAGCAGCCGCGGUAAUUC